CCUGUCCCCGGCUGGAGCUGUCCCCGGAAAUGUCCCCGUUUUUAACUGUGCUUUAAAAUAAUACUGCAAAGUGAAAUAAUAUUUUAAGAAAGACCCGGCCACAGAGCCUACCGUUUGACGUCUCAAUCGCGUGGUGCUUGUUUUGUCCAGCAGAGGGGGCUGCUCGCUAUAGCAGCUUCAUUCACUCUCCUUCUACUAACUACCUGCUCGCUAUAGCAGCUUCAUUCACUCUCCUUCUACUAACUACCUGCUCGCGAUAGUUUUAGAGAAAACUGCUGUGAAAAACUCGGCCGGGAGCUAGCAAGUGUCAAGUGAAUCCACAACAUCACCACAAACGUCUUUUUAAGCCAGAGAGUGGAGAGGAAGGAGAGGAGUUAGACUGGAUAGGAAGACGAGUGAAAGGGAGAGAAGAGGAAAGAUUGGAGAAGAAGGAGAAGGAAAAUGAAGGGAGUAAAAAUAGUGAAGCGAGGAGAGUGUGGAAGAGUGAGGUGGAAAGGUAAAGAGAAGGAAAGGAAGAAAGAGCAGGAAGACGAGUGAAGAAAAGAGGAGGAGAAAGAUUGAAGGAGAAGAAAAAGUUUGGCUGGCCUUUGUCCAUGAAAACCUGACCGUAUUCAGUGACACAAUCAAGAUGCUUGAAGGCCAGGACUGCUGUGCUGUGGAUUCUGAGAAAUGUUGAGGCAAAAUUGACUGCAAGACGUGAUGACAACUUCAUUCCAGUUUUGGUCAAAGGACUUCUGAGAGAGCUAGAGGGAAAUGGAUCAAUGUCUAAAGAGAGCUUUCUCAAAAUAUCCCAAUCAUUCUUCACUAUGGCUGUGAACUACUUGCAAGCAUGGGGAAAGCACACAGAUAAUCUAAAUGAUUUUACAUUGUCUCCUUUUAAAAAAGGAAACCUCAGCGUGUAGAGAUCCAGAAUGCAGCAGGCACACUGCAGGAAAAAUGCCCCAAUGUGACCAUCAAUGAGGAUGCAUUAUGUGACGAGGUUACUGGCCUGCAAGAGUUCCUAAAGGGGGGAUCGCUUGAAGAAUGGAAAACAUCUGAGACACCGCUUAGUCAGAGAUGGAGCACGGUGUUUACCCACUUCAAAGAGAACGACAUCCCACACACUAACCUGGCUAGAUUAGCGCCUGUUGUCAUGUGCUUACCUGGAAGUAAUGCACCAGUCGAGAGAGUGUUCUCCCAAAUGAAUGAUAUAUGGACAGCAGCAAGAAAUAGGUUCACUGUUCCUACCAUCAAGGCCAUGCUUAUUGUGAAGACAAACUUCAACCUCCCCUGCCAGGAGUUCAUGGAGAAGCUGGCCAAAGACAGAGCAAUCCUGAAGAAGAUACAUUCUUCUGAGAAAUAUACAGAUUAGUCCUCUGAGGCGUGUAAUGACUUCUCCGAGGAGUGGUGAUCCGGGUGGAGGUGGUAGCACAUGAUGGGGUGGGGGUACGGUCGGCGGGUCUCCCCACGCGAAGCCUGGCCACUUUUUUUCAAGUUCCACUCUGCCAUGGUGUUUUCCCGCAGUCGACCAGCCGCACAGACACCCUCUUCAGAUCCAGCAGUAAGGCGCUACCAGGAGAGUUGUGACACGGGGACUCUGGCAGUUCCACUCUGCCCUGGUGUUUUCCUGCAGUCGACCAGCCGCACAGACACCCUCUUCAGAUCCAGCAGUAAGGCGCUACCAGGAGAGUUGUGACCAGGGGACUCUGGCAGGUUGGAGGGGGACGGGCUAGCUCUGUCCUGGUGACCACAGAAAGUAUUGUACAUAGAAUAUCAUUAGACCAAACAUUUGAUUACUUUAGUCUAAAUCUCUGAUUGAUUGGUGCAUCCUUAUAAUACAUCCAUUUUCCUGAAGUGUGUAAUCGUUCACUACUUUCUACAUUUUCAAUCACUUUACCAAAUCUUUCAGAUGGAAGUGGUAUAUUUGUUUUUACAAAAUGUCAAAACUGAUAACACUUGUAAUGCCCCGUCUUAUGUUCAGAAACUUUGGUUGAGCAGUCAUUGGAGUUGAACAUCUUUCACCUGAGUUAAGAACUAAUGUCUCACGUAAUUGGUCAGCCACUCGAUUUAGUUCAGGGUUCAUACGUGUUAGGAGGAGAGCUUAACAGAUGAUGGAACGAGGAGGACGCCAACACCUGCCAAAUCGUGAUUUGUCAUAAUAACAAGUGAGGAAAAACUAAAACACCUGAACUACUGCUGCUCAUUAUGAUGUAGUAUUUAGAGCCAAAUCCAUCAAUUAUUUGGUUUUACCUUCCACCCUAAAUUAAAUGAAUGUCAAUUUAUACAGUUAUCCCCAUGUACAAUAGAGCCACUUCUUUAUGGUGCCUUUUACAGCUUGUUUCUAGCCUAAAGCGUUGCAGAGUUAUGCAUCCUAUACAUUUAUAUAAUCAGGGUUUGGGGGGCAUUAGCCCCUCCCCCACCCCAAGCACCACACCACUGGAAUGAACGUUGACAAAUAUCCAAUACAUGGGCUAGUCCACCAUCCAGAUCAGAGCUGUAAAUACAAUCAAGCCUGUCUAAUGGCAGAGUUGUUAAUUUGGCACUGUUGACCAGCACAGAUUUGGAUAAAAAUGUCAAGACAGGAGAAGGAGCAUAAUAGAAUCUAUUCUGGAUGUUCAAAACUGGUGAGUUUGAUGCUACCCAGCAUGCAUUUGCACAAUGCAGUGGACAACGUGUGGUUACAUGUGUAUUUGCCCUCCUCUGUCCUACCUUUGCAAAUCAGAUCAUAACUCCAAUCUGGUCCUCUUUGCCCAUUCACAUUGACUGGGCCAGUCAAGUUCCUUUGUGUACACAACACUGACAAUCUGAAAUGGUCCAUCCACACAGACAGGGUGGUGAAGAAGGCUGAACAGCAC